UUCAAGUGACUGUCUGGGUGAAACACAGUCGUUUUCUCCAGUAGCGUCGCCACCAGUCAGCGCAGGCAGUCAGCGCAGUUCAAGUACGGCCGCAACUUCAAGUAUUGCCGUUAGGUCGUCUGUUUCAAGACCGACAACCACCCGCUCUUCUGUCUCAAGAAUCGCACAUGGCAGAGAUUCAUCUCGCGAAACUGACUGUUCCAGUACGGCCGCCUCUUCAAGUAUUCCUGCUAGGUGGUCUGUUUUAAGACCUACAGCCACCAGCUCUUCUGUCUCAAGAACCGCACGUGGCAGGGAUUCAUCUCGCGAAACUGACUGCCCCGACAAUAAUGACCCGCACCCGCAUGAGGUUCAGUGGACUCCUGCCAACGCGCCAAAGUUUGACAUCGGUUUUCCGUGCACCCAAUCUUGGCGGAGCAGCUGGCACAGCAGCACUUGUCGGCAAGUGGCGUGAGGGAACUGUGCUCCGUAACGUUAUGGAGCCUGGCAACUGCAUGCUAUAUGAAGUGAGGCGUAGGACGGCUCAUUUAAAUCUUCCUUUGCUGCAGCGCAUGUAAAGCCCAGAUCGACAUCGCCAGCGAAAGUGUGGUGCAGCCAAUGGGAUUACCCCAUGCCAUUUGACUGGGUGAAAGGGCUACCCCACUCACCCUCCGACGGAAGAGAAGGCGAUACUAACUUCGUUUCUCAUGAGUGUGUCAGU